rnacentral:tRNA from 1 species
GCGGCAGUAGCGCAGUUGGUUAAACUUUGUCCAGUUCAGUUUCAGUGCCACAGCGCGUAGGUCUCAUAACACGAGCCCAAGAAAGCUAUCCUAAGGUCGUGAGUUCGAGUCUCACCUGCCGCA